UACGUAGGGGGCUAGCGUUGUCCGGAAUCAUUGGGCGUAAAGCGCGUGUAGGCGGCCCGGUAAGUCCGCUGUGAAAGUCGGGGGCUCAACCCUCGAAUGCCGGUGGAUACUGUCGGGCUAGAGUGCGGAAGAGGCGAGUGGAAUUCCUGGUGUAGCGGUGAAAUGCGCAGAUAUCAGGAGGAACACCGAUGGCGAAGGCAGCUCGCUGGGACGGUACUGACGCUGAGGCGCGAAAGCGUGGGGAGCGAACAGG
rnacentral:rRNA from 1 species